rnacentral:rRNA from 1 species
AAUAAGCCCCGGCUAACUACGUGCCAGCAGCCGCGGUAAUACGUAGGGGGCGAGCGUUGUCCGGAGUUACUGGGCGUAAAGAGCGUGUAGGCGGUUGAAAAAGUCAGGUGUGAAAUUCUUCGGCUCAACCGAGGGACUGCGCCUGAAACUUUUCGACUGGAGUUUGGGGGGGGCAACUGGAAUUCCUGGUGUAACGGUGAAAUGUGUAGAUAUCAGGAGGAACACCCGUGGCGAAGGCGGGUUGCUGGACCAAAGCUGACGCUGAGACGCGAAAGCGUGGGUAGCAAACAGGAUUAGAUACCCUGGUAGUCCACGCUGUAAACGAUGAGUGCUAGGUGUAGGGGGUAUCGACUCCCUCUGUGCCGCAGUUAACGCA